rnacentral:lncRNA from 12 species
AAAGCAGCUUUUCUCAGAGGGUGUAGCACAUGUUGUGGGAAAACUAGUCUGGCUGGUUCUACCUCAGCUCAAUCUUUGAGGGCAAUUUUUGCUGUCAGCCAUACCAGGGAAUAUUAGAGUAACCGUCGCCCUGAUGCCAGGUCCCUAUUUCAGAACGCAUAUGCACACGCACAUGUACACACAUGCACACGCACACACACUCAGAGUCACUGGAAAAUUAUAAAUUGACAUAACUUUCUAGAUGGCCUGAGGACUUCAGAGAGUUAGAGAAGCAUCAAUCAGAUAAAACCUGUGUCUGUCACCUAUGUUUUAAAAUGUUACAGUCAUGUUUAAAUAGCUGGCAGGUCAGUCUUUUUUUUUUUUUUUUUAAAUUCUUCUUUUCUUUUCUUUUUUCUUUUUCCAGCAGGCAGCAAAAGAAGCUUUGACAGACUGGAAAGAUUCAUUUCCUUCGUUCAUUUUUUUUUGGGGGGGGGAGGUGUUUCUUUUUAUUUGUUGCUGCUUUCAUUUACCCUGGAGGUGGUCACCGUCUGGUCUGCCACUGGAUGCGGGGUGCUGGGCAGAGAGGGGGGCCACAAGCCAGAAGAUUGCAUCAUUGCUGCAGAGGAGGGCAGAGCUGGGGCAGGGAAAGUUUGGCAUUUAAGGAAAUGCACUGAUUCUUCCAUGUAUAAAAAAGAAAAAGACAUCAUGGGGGACAACCUUCUAAGAUAAAGGCUUGACAUAAGAAGACCUAGGUUCUGGCUUGGCGCUGUUGCUAAUAAACUGUAACACUGACAAAGUCUUGUUUAGUUU